UCCCUCUUAGCUCAGUGGUAGAGCGCGUCACUAGUAUAUGAUAGGUGGGACAUAAUUCACCAUGACGAGGUCAGUCGUUCAAGUCGGCUAGAGGGAA